GUUGUAGCUCAGUGGUAGAGCGAUUGUCUCCUACAUGUGAGGCACUGUGUUUGAUUCCCAGCACAACA
rnacentral:tRNA from 1 species